AGAAUCAACGCUGGCGGCGUGCCUAACACAUGCAAGUCGAACGAGAAAGUGGAGCAAUCCAUGAGUAAAGUGGCGACCGGGUGAGUAACACGUGACUAACCUACCUUCGAGUGGGGGAUAACCUCGGGAAACCGAGGCUAAUACCGCAUAACAUCGUGAGAUCAAAGCAGUAAUGCGCUGGAAGAGGGGGUCGCGGCUGAUUAGUUAGUUGGCGGGGUAAUGGCCCACCAAGACAGUGAUCGGUAUCCGGCCUGAGAGGGCGCGACGGACGACGACUGGAACUGAAACACGGUCCAGACUCCUACGGGAGGCAGCAGUGGGGAAUUUUGCGCAAUGGGGGAAACCCUGACGCAGCAACGCCGCGUGGAGGAUGAAGUACUUCGGUACGUAAACUCCUUUCGAUCGGGACGAUAAUGACGGUACCGGAAGAAGAAGCCCGGCUAACUCGUGCCAGCAGCCGC
rnacentral:rRNA from 1 species